GAUGGACGCUAGCGGCAGGCUUAACACAUGCAAGUCGAGGGGUAGAGGAAGCUUGCUUCCUUGAGACCGGCGCACGGGUGCGUAACGCGUAUGCAACCUACCUUUUACAGAGGGAUAGCCCAGAGAAAUUUGGAUUAAUACCUCAUGGUAUAUAUCAUUCGCAUGUUUGAUAUAUUAAAGUUCCAACGGUAAAAGAUGGGCAUGCGUCCUAUUAGCUAGAUGGUAAGGUAACGGCUUACCAUGGCAACGAUAGGUAGGGGUCCUGAGAGGGAGAUCCCCCACACUGGUACUGAGACACGGACCAGACUCCUACGGGAGGCAGCAGUGAGGAAUAUUGGACAAUGGGCGCAAGCCUGAUCCAGCCAUGCCGCGUGCAGGAAGAGGCAUCUAUGGUGUGUAAACUGCUUUUGUACGGGAAGAAACACUCCUUCGUGAAGGAGCUUGACGGUACCGUAAGAAUAAGGAUCGGCUCACUACGUGCCAGCAGCCGCCGUAAAAC
rnacentral:rRNA from 1 species